CAGAUGCUGCAUAAAUAUAAACACACAAAUAAGCACAAUUCAAGCUUUAUAUAUGUUAAACAGUGAUUAUGUUUGAUAAGUCAAACUUAUGUUGAUUGUCACUGUGGUAAUAUCAUGUUUUAGACAUGUAUCAUGGUAAUACCGCUGUAUUUUAACAUUUACUAUGCUUUUUAGAUAUGUACCAUGGUAAUACCGUUUUUUGAGACGUUAAAUGUUACAACGGUAAUGACACGUCUUUGAGACAUGUUACAAUGGUCAUGACGUUUUUUGUUGUUGUUGUGAUGUUACAAUGGUAAUGACAAGUUUUUUGAGACAUGUUACAAUGGUCAUGACGUUUUUUUGUUGUUGUGAUGUUACAAUGGUAAUGACACGUUUUUGAGACGUUACAACGAUAAUUACACAUUUUUUGAGAUGUUACAACGGUAAUGACACGUUUUUUGAGACAUGUUAAAUGUUACAAUGGUAAUGACAUGUCUUUGAGACAUGUUACAAUGGUCAUGAAGUUUUUUUGUUGUUGUGAUGUUACAAUGGUACUGACACGUUUUUUUGUGAUGUUACAAUGGUAAUGACACGUUUUUUGAGACGUUAAAUGUUACAAUGGUAAUGACACGUCUUUGAGACAUGUUACAAUGGUCAUGACAUGUUUUUUUUGUUGUUGUGAUGUUACAACGGUAAUGGCACGUUUUUUUGUGAUGCUACAAUGGUAAUGACACGUUUUUUUGAGAUGUUAAAUGUUACAACGGUAAUGACACAUUUUUUGAGACAUGUUACAAUGGUAAUGACACGUUUUUUGAGACGUUACAAUGAUAAUUACACAUUUUUUGAGAUGUUACAAUGGUAAUGACACGUUUUUUGAGACAUGUAACAAUGGUAAUGACACGUUUUUGAGACGUUACAACGAUAAUUACACAUUUUUUGAGAUGUUACAAUGGUAAUGACACGUUUUUUGAGACAUGUUAAAUGUUACAAUGGUAAUGACACGUUUUUUGAGACAUGUUACAACGGUAAUGACAUGUUUUUUGAGACAUGUUAAAUGCUACAAUGGUAAUGACACGUUUUUUUGAGACAUGUUACAAUGGUAAUAACACGUUUUAUGAGACAUGGUAAAUGUUACAAUGGUAAUGACAUGUUUUUUGAGACGUUACAAUGGUAAUGACGCUUUUUUGAGACAUGUUAAAUGUUACAACGGUAAUGACACGUUUUUUGAGACAUGUUACAAUGGUAAUAACACGUUUUAUGAGACAUGGUAAAUGUUACAAUGGUAAUGACAUGUUUUUUGAGAUGUUACAAUGGGAAUGACACGUUUUCUGAGACGUUAUAAUGGUAAUGACAUGUUUUUUGAGACGUUACAAUGGUAAUGACGCUUUUUUGAGACAUGUUAAAUGUUACAAUGGUAAUGACAUGUUUUUUGAGACAUGUUACAACGGUAAUGACAUGUUUUUUGAGACAUGUUACAACGGUAAUGACACAUUUUUUGAGAUGUUACAACGGUAAAGACAUGUUUUUUGAGACAUGUUAAAUGUUACAACGGUAAUGACAUGUUUUUUGAGACAUGCUACAACGGUAAUGACACGUUUUUUGAGACAUGUUACAAUGGUAAUGACAAGUUUUUUGAGACAUGUUACAACAGUAAUGCCACAUGUUUUUUGAGACAUGUUACAACGGUAAUGACACGUUUUUGAGACAUGUUACAACAGUAAUGACAAUUUUUUUGAGAUGUUACAACGGUAAAGACAUGUUUCUUGAGACAUGUUAAAUGUUACAACGGUAAUGACAUGUUUUUUGAGACAUGUUAAAUGUUACAACGGCAAUGACACGUUUUUUGAGACAUGUUACAAUGGUAAUGACAAGUUUUUUGAGACAUGUUACAACAGUAAUGCCACAUUUUUUGAGACGUUACAAUGGUAAUGACAAGUUUUUUGAGACAUGUUACAAUGGUAAUGACAUGUUUUUUGAGACAUGUUACAAUGGUAAUGACACGUUUUUUGAGACGUUACAAUGGUAAUGACGUUUUUUGAGACGUUACAAUGGUAAUGACACGUUUUUUGAGACAUGUUACAAUGGUAAUGACAAGUUUUUUGAGACAUGUUACAACAGUAAUGCUACAUUUUUUGAGACAUUACAAUGGUAAUGACAAGUUUUUUGAGACAUGUUACAAUGGUAAUGACGUUUUUUGAGACAUGUUACAAUGGUAAUGACACGUUUUUUGAGUCGUUAUAAUGGUAAUGAUAUGUUUUUUGAGACAUGUUACAGAGGUAAUGACACGUUUUUUGAGACAUGUUACAACAGUAAUGCCACAUUUUUUGAGACAUUACAAUGGUAAUGACACGUUUUUUGAGACAUGUUACAACAGUAAUGCCACAUUUUUUGAGACAUGUUACAACAGUAAUGC